rnacentral:rRNA from 1 species
AGAGUUUGAUCCUGGCUCAGGACGAACGCUGGCGGCGUGCUUAACACAUGCAAGUCGAACGGAAAGAGAUGAAAGAGCUUGCUCUUUUAUUAAUUUCAGUGGCAAACGGGUGAGUAACACGUAAACAACCUGCCUUAAGGAUGGGGAUAACAGACGGAAACGACUGCUAAUACCGAAUACGUUCUAAGCAUCGCAUGGUGCAUAGAAGAAAGGGUGGCCUCUACAAGAAAGCUAUCGCCUUAAGAGGGGUUUGCGACUGAUUAGGUAGUUGGUGAGGUAACGGCUCACCAAGCCGACGAUCAGUAGCCGGUCUGAGAGGAUGAACGGCCACACUGGAACUGAGACACGGUCCAGACUCCUACGGGAGGCAGCAGUGGGGAAUCUUCCGCAAUGGACGAAAGUCUGACGGAGCAACGCCGCGUGAACGAAGAAGGUCUUCGGAUUGUAAAGUUCUGUGAUUCGGGACGAAAGGGUUUGUGGUGAAUAAUCAUAGACAUUGACGGUACCGAAAAAGCAAGCCACGGCUAACUACGUGCCAGCAGCCGCGGUAAUACGUAGGUGGCAAGCGUUGUCCGGAAUUAUUGGGCGUAAAGCGCGCGCAGGCGGCUUCCCAAGUCCCUCUUAAAAGUGCGGGGCUUAACCCCGUGAUGGGAAGGAAACUGGGAAGCUGGAGUAUCGGAGAGGAAAGUGGAAUUCCUAGUGUAGCGGUGAAAUGCGUAGAGAUUAGGAAGAACACCGGUGGCGAAGGCGACUUUCUGGACGAAAACUGACGCUGAGGCGCGAAAGCGUGGGGAGCAAACAGGAUUAGAUACCCUGGUAGUCCACGCCGUAAACGAUGGAUACUAGGUGUAGGAGGUAUCGACCCCUCCUGUGCCGGAGUUAACGCAAUAAGUAUCCCGCCUGGGGAGUACGGUCGCAAGACUGAAACUCAAAGGAAUUGACGGGGGCCCGCACAAGCGGUGGAGUAUGUGGUUUAAUUCGACGCAACGCGAAGAACCUUACCAGGUCUUGACAUUGAUCGCGAUCUGCAGAAAUGCGGAGUUCUUCUUCGGAAGACGAGAAAACAGGUGGUGCACGGCUGUCGUCAGCUCGUGUCGUGAGAUGUUGGGUUAAGUCCCGCAACGAGCGCAACC